GAUUCCGUAAGUAGCGGCGAGCGAACGCGGAAUAGCCCAAACCAAUAAAGUUUUCUUUAUUGGGGUUGCGGACAUAUCUUAAACGAAGAGGUAUCGUAAUUGAAGAGGUUUGGAAAGAUCCACCACAGAAGGUAAUAGUCCUGUAUGUCAAACGAGAAAACUUCAGAUAUGAUCCAGAGUACCACGGGACACGUGAAACCCUGUGGGAAGCAGGAGGGACCACCCUCCAAGGCU
rnacentral:rRNA from 1 species